GACGAACGCUGGCGGCGUGCUUAACACAUGCAAGUCGAACGAUGAACCCGGAGCUUGCUCCGGCGGAUUAGUGGCGAACGGGUGAGUAACACGUGAGUAACCUGCCCUUGACUCUGGGAUAACUGCGGGAAACUGUAGCUAAUACCGGAUACGACCCUCGGCGGCAUCGCCAGGGGGUGGAAAGAAUUUCGGUCAAGGAUGGACUCGCGGCCUAUCAGCUAGUUGGUGAGGUAACGGCUCACCAAGGCGACGACGGGUAGCCGGCCUGAGAGGGUAACCGGCCACACUGGGACUGAGACACGGCCCAGACUCCUACGGGAGGCAGCAGUGGGGAAUAGUGCACAAUGGGCGCAAGCCUGAUGCAGCAACGCCGCGUGAGGGAUGACGGCCUUCGGGUUGUAAACCUCUUUUAGUAGGGAAGAAGCGAAAGUGACGGUACCUGCAGAAAAAGCACCGGCUAACUACGUGCCAGCCGCCGCCGUAA
rnacentral:rRNA from 1 species